CAUUUGGUGUGGCAAGACUGCUGCUCAAAUGACCAGGUCAAAGAACCUCGCUGCUGGUCAAUAGAGUCAACAGCACCAAUGGGAUGCAAGGAAGAGCCAUUCUGGUCCAUCUUCAGCAAAGCUAGAAGUAUCUCAACGGAGUCUUGCUGAAGGCCAAUGGAGUGGAUGGAAGAAGAGGUUGAAGCAGGGCCAGGUGCCAGGAAAGACGUGGCGUUAUCUCAGGACCAUCUGGUUGCAGUACGAAUGAGAAGGGAAAGGAGGUUGUGAGCACUGGUCACGUAGCCUUGCAUUGCUAUUUGCAAACACCAACAAUCAAGCCAUUUCCUGCCAGAAGGUCAGGCAAUAGCUUAGUCUCAGGAAAGAAUGGGGCUUCAAGGAACAAGAGCAAGAACCUGCAGCGGCUGGAGGGGCCACUCAACAAGAAAACUUUGAAACACUGAGAUGUGUGGAGCUUCUCGGAACAUGGGCGCAGUCUCUAGAUGCAGUGAAAGUGUGCAUGAUCUUCCGACUGGCCUUUCCACAGAAGACAGACCUGGAUUCAGCUGAGCUGAUGCUAGGAAUCAGGGUCAGAUGACGUCUGUGGCUCCUGCGGCUCAUGUUCUAUCCUUGCCUCUUUUUAAAUCCACAUUGAUGAUGAAGGAAGGGUUGGAUUAGCCCGCAAUUUUAAGGUCUUUGCGAUCUUCCACACAAAAUGCAGAUUUGUGGCUACUCUUGAAGCGAGGGAGGGCCAUCUGGGUUGAUGUGCUCACACAGCAACAUCUGGCUGCAGCUGGGCAGCUGCUGUUUCCAGAAGCAACCACAUACUGCUGCCCCACAUUCCUCACGGACCACUUCACUCAGUCUCUGUCAGCCUCAUGUUUGCAGCUGCUGCUCCAGAACACAACAGUAAAGCAGGAUGGCUGGCACGCACGUGUCCCAAAUGCGGCUUUAUCCCAGAACCUUCCUGCAGAGUGCUGGCAGCACGUAGGCCUUUAAUACAUAUUUGUUUAAUAACAGGGAGGGAGGGAACACAGCUCUGUCAAAGCAGAGCAGAUCUGUGUUUAAACGCAAGCUGUUUGAUCUUGGGGGAAGUUAUUGAAUUGUCUAAGCCUCUGUUUUCCUCAUUCGUAAAGCCAGGAUAAAAACACUCAUCCUUUUGGGCAGUCCUAGAGAAUAACGCGGCCACCAUAUAAUGGUCUCCCAUUCAAAUAUAUUAAAAGCAUGUUUACUUAAAGAGCUGUAUUCUAUGGAUCUCUGACUGGAAUAAAGUAAAAAUGCACAUUAUUUUAAUCAAGUCACCAAGAGAAGUGAGGUGAG